rnacentral:sRNA from 1 species
AAGCAUUGCAGGCGGGGGGUCGGGAGCGUGAGGACUCUGAGGGGCUAGCGAGCCAGCCGGGGUGGUUGUGGGCUGGAAGGCGAGAGCUAUCUGAGCGUAGGCCAGGGGACCAAGCUUCUCGGCCUCUACGACCGUGCACUCACGGCCCCAUUUUACAGACGGGGAAACUGAGGCCAUCAGCCGUGCCUCUUUCUUAGGCCGAGGAAGGGGAUGGCCGCUUCCAUUCAGCACUGCCACCCAGAGAACUGCUGGUGAGGACUGCCGUUCUGAGGACCCUCCUGAUGAGCUUGGGCCCCCUCUUGCUGAACGAGCCUUAAGGGUAAAAGCUGUUAAACUGGAGAAAGAAGUCCAAGAUUUAACAGUGAGAUACCAGAGAGCUAUAGCUGAUUGUGAAAACAUAAGGAGGCGAACCCAGAGAUGUGUGGAAGACGCCAAGAUAUUUGGAAUCCAGAGUUUCUGUAAGGACUUGGUGGAGGUGGCUGACAUUUUGGAGAAGACUACAGAGUGCAUUUCUGAAGAAUCGGAGCCUGAGGACCAAAAGCUCACUCUGGAGAAAGUCUUCCGAGGGUUGUUGCUUUUAGAAGCAAAGCUGAAAAGUGUGUUUGCCAAGCAUGGCCUGGAGAAACUGACACCCAUUGGUGACAAAUAUGACCCCCAUGAGCAUGAACUCAUCUGUCAUGUGCCAGCUGGUGUUGGGGUGCAGCCUGGCACUGUGGCAUUAGUAAGACAAGAUGGCUACAAACUUCAUGGCCGCACCAUUAGGCUUGCCCGAGUGGAAGUGGCAGUGGAGUCUCAGAGAAGACUGUGAAGAGGCCAUCAGGAACUGGAUGUUCUCCCAGAGCGCAGUCACCUAUGUUUCUUUUAUUUAUUAAACUAGGUUUGUAUUGUACAUGAGGUACUUCAUGUGAUAGGUUUUGGAUUUAGUCAUAUUGGCUUUAUUUCUAAGAUAUUCUAUUGAUUUAAUGUGACCUGUUUGGUCUCAUCAGAAGUCUUACCAUUGGGCAUUUGAACAGUGUGACAGGUGUUCCAAUGGCCUUUAUCAAAACAUGUUUAGGAAAAUUGGUACUGUGAUAAAUUUGAAUCCAAAAUCCUUUUAACUAUGGGUUUUCAACUACAUGUUUCUUCCUAGCGGUCUCUAUAACAGGAAUUGUGUAGUAUCUUGUAUUUUGUGGAAAAAGGAGAUGGUAGGGAUUGGUUCAACAUUGGGGUACUUACAGGAUAAAGCUUCGUGGUCGUAUAAAUUUAGAUCAUUUGGACUGAUUUUUAUACACAUAGAUUUUCAGGACUUUACCUUUUGUUUUGUUUUUUUUCCUUUUAGCCAUCUUUUGUUCUUGUAAUCCCAACUAGAUAGGCUUUAUGCUCACAUCAUUGUCCCAUACCCACCCCUUUCUCAGCCCAUUUGCAGGGGCUAAAGGUCUAGAUGAGACUUGGAAGGCAAGGAGCAUCGAAAUUUGAGAUACCCAGGACCCUUUCAAGCAAGAAUGGCCAAAAAGCCUUGUGCUGUCUUUGCUCUUCAAAUUAUUUUCAGCCUCCUUGUCAUAUAAUCAUUUCAGGCAAACUGAGGCAGCACUAACAGCUAAUGACCCAGAUGGCUCUAUUUGGGUAAUUUACCUACAACUUAUUCCACCAGCCUUUACUCCUCUGCCCUUUUGUCAAUUUUACCUUAUAAUCCUUUAUUAAAUGAUGGGAGGUGGUGAUCAGGACAAAAGUGUUAGGUUCCCAUGAUUUCUCAUUUCAUUUAUUAAUGGUUAAUGCUGAAUUUUUUUUUUAAGUUUCCUCUGGCUCUAUUUAUGUUAUUUUUUGCGAUAAGAACACUUAACAUAAGUAUUCUCUCCUCUUGGCAAUUUUUUUUUUUUUCCUGUGUUGCCCAGGCUGACCUCCAACUCCUGGGCCCAAGCAAUCCUGCCUCAGCCUGCCAAGUAGCUAGGACUACAGGCGUUCACCACUGCGCCCGCAAAGUUUUUUUGUUGUUUUUUUUUUUAAGUUGGUAUUCACAAAUCACUACCUCUGUUAUAUUGACAAGCUCUAUUUCCUAUUCUUUGUAUCUGUUAAGUCACAUUUGUGUAAACAUUGAGCUCACCUUUUAUAUAUUAACCUCUAGAAUUAAUGGGCCUAUGUGGUUUUUUUUCAGUCUUAUAGCUGGUGUUCUGUAAAAGAUUUGUCCAAUAAACGACUUAAUGAAUGAUACAUCAGUCAGAUUUUAGGAAGGCAGUCAAUUAUGGAUAUUUUAAUGUUGGAAGAGGCCUUAAUGAUCAAAUCUCACCCUUUCUGCUUCUGAAGUAUGAAAAUCUAGUCUUUUUAGGACUGGACACAAGGAAAAUAAUCUCUAAACUAUUGACUAAAUUCCAGUGAGAGUAUGAAUGAAGAACAACUAGAUAUUAAUGUCAAUCAUUUAAGAUUAAUGGGCAUGCAAUUAAGUCUCCAUUUAAGAUUAAUGGGCAUGCAAUGAAGUCUCCAGCAGACAAUCAGAUGUUGUUGGAUGUCUAGAUUAUAUAGGUUUAGGUUGAAGUUAUAAAAUAAAAUAAAAUUCAUUUUCCACUGGAACUCUAUGACAUUCAGUGGAGUGGUGGAAAGUUAACCUCUUAUACAUUAUAGAUAAUUCUAAGACAGCACACAAACUUAUCAAUAAAGCCAUCUCCUUGUGGGCCUUACCAUCUUCAUCAGAUUUAGACCCUUAAAAAACAAGUAAAUAUGCACUUUUAAAAUGCAAUCAAAAGACUGGUGGUUAAGCUUGUAAAACCAGAACAUCUUUUGGCAUUCCACUAAGUAUAUAUUGUAAAUUUAAUGAACAAUCAAGGUUCACAAUAGGAAGUUGUCUUUUUUUGCCUUCCAUUCUGUGAGAUUUGACAGAUGGUGACAAUAAGAAAAUGAGCUGAUUGUAAUUACUCUCUGUGUGUUUUUUUAUUGCUAGCUAUCAUUACCAGUUAGAAUUAACAAUAAUUUUAGGUAUGGAAUGUUAUGAUUACCUAAAGAGAUGUCUCUACCUAAUGAGCUCAAGUGAUCCUCCCACCUCAGCCUACCAAGUAGCCAGGACCACAGGCAAGUACACCACCAUGACUGGCUAGUUUUGUUUUUUGUUUUUUGGUUUUUUUUUUUUUUGGUUGGUUGGUUGUUUUUUACAGGCGGGGUCUCACUAUAUUGUCCAGGCUAGAAGAAUUUUCUAAUGGUCUAUUACACCUCCCAUUUUGGCAAGUAAAUUCAGAAUAAUUUUAGGUUCUUUUGUUAUUCAGUAGUUUUGCAGACUUAAAAGUGUAAAUUUAGAAUUAGAAGAUGAAGCUAUAGUAGUAAGAAUCUCAAGUUGAAGGGCUUUGGGGAGCCAAAGCAGCAUAUUAGAGCAUAGGCUUGAACUUAAAUCUCAGCUCAGUCACCUGCAGGACUUUAGGCACCAGUGAUUUCACCCUUCUGAGCCUGUUUCUUUAUUCGUAAAAUGAUUAUAAUAAUUCUUUCACAGCGUUGUGAGGAUUAAGUGAAAUGUGUUAAAUGCCUACUACAGUAGGUGCUCAGAUAUUUAUUUUUAUUUUUUUAUUAUGCACAUUGUUUUUCCUGCCUUUUUAUGGCUGUCUAAAGUCUAGAGAAAAGGGAAGACUGGUUAAUGAUGAGUAGAAAAAACUUGUAAGCUAAUCAUUCACUGACUUAUUUUCCUUCCAUUUUCUGGUUUUUAAAAUUAGCCACACCACAGGAAACCCACAUUUUUAGAUGGAAAGAGCAAGAAAAUUGUGUCAGUGCUCUUAGUUAUUUUCAUCUUAAUGGUAUAGUGAAAAGACAUUGACUUGAGAUGAUACUAAGGAAGCUUUGGCUCACUCUCACUUGAAGAGGGGAUCUUGGUGUUUUAGUACUUGGAUUGUACAAAUGUUUUACUGACUUUUCUUACUGCUGUAAAGGAAUCAGGCAGUUGGGUAUUGAUAUGUUAUUUGGUGCUCUCAUUCAUGGCAAAGGAUUUGAUAAAUAAAAGUUAUUUAAACACUAAAGCAAAAUCAAAUGAGCAAAACUAAGGAUGAAAUGUAAUAUUCAUCAGAACAAGGAUCACUGAGAAAAAAUAUUCAGAAACAACUUUAAUAAAACCUGAAUUGAAAUAACUGCA